UACGUAGGGGGCAAGCGUUAUCCGGAUUUACUGGGUGUAAAGGGAGCGUAGACGGCGAAGAAAGUCUGAAGUGAAAGCCCGCGGCUCAACCGCGGAACUGCUUUGGAAACUUUUUUGCUGGAGUACCGGAGAGGUAAGCGGAAUUCCUAGUGUAGCGGUGAAAUGCGUAGAUAUUAGGAGGAACACCAGUGGCGAAGGCGGCUUACUGGACGGUAACUGACGUUGAGGUUCGAAAGCGUGGGGAGCAAACAGG
rnacentral:rRNA from 1 species